UUUCAUUUUUUUCUAUAGAUAUUCAAUUUUCCAGUCGUUUAAGCUUAAUCUGUGGCGCUUGGGUAGACUCUAUACAGGUUACGACAAAAGUCCGUUUUGGCCGAUUUCCAUUAAAAAAAUGAAUGAAAAUUUUGACAGACAAAUUGGAAUGGUUUGUUUACAAUUGGACUGGUUUGUUUACAAUUUGACUGGAUUGCAAUCGUGCAGUUAUUUCAUUAUUUUGUGAUUAUUAAUUUUUUGAUGAAGUAAUAACUGUAGCAAGGGAGAAAUCGACUAAGUGAGAAAUAUACUUUCGUUGUCGUGAAAAGAUCCAACAUGAAGGAGUUUAAGAUUGUGUCAGGGAAAAGGAUUACAUCGAGCAAUCGGAAGAUUGCUGUGAAAUCAUUCGCUUCUCAGCAUUACCAGCAUUACGGACAAGGAGAUAAAUAAGCGCGUGAAGUACACAGCUAGAAAGCAUAUGUCGGAGGGAAAAUGUAUGCUGUUUCUGGAACAUGCGCGGUGGGUGUGCAGUGCAGACACAGUUUCAUCUUACGAGAUUCUUUUCCGUCCAACAACAGUAAAGUAUAUAUGAAGAGGGAGGGGUGCAAAGUGCCGUACCUUCCCAAAGUAAUCACUGUUCGUAAUAGGUGAGGAAUAUUAUCAUGCCUGGCUGUUGCACAGUAUCCGUUGGGAUGAGGUCUAGCUCCCUCGAGGCCAACGGACGAUGUCCCAUUCCGCCCUACUGCAACAUAGUGCCCAGAUGACCGAGAUGGCAUGUUGCUUCGGCUAGGUAAGUAUCUUUGCACUAAUGAACCAAUGCCCCGUUGCAUGUAGUUCCAUUCUAGAGAACGAAAUCUUUUACCAACCGGAUGCAGCUGCAGCAUUAUCAGAGGGAGAAGAGUUAUGCCACCAUGGGUAUAAAAUAGAGAUGUACCGUCAUACAGAGAUAUAACAGUGCCGUGCAGUGCUUUUGGAUCUACCAGUGCAGCAUGAUGGGUCCAGUACAUAAAUAAGCAACAAUUGCAACCAUAGACUGACUCCAGCGUGUGAUCUGGCGGGAUAAUACGUUUUGACACGCAGACUGGAUGCACGUGAUCAUACGUCAUCUAUCAUCUCGGUUCACUAUUUAAUUUAAUUUAAUUUAUUUAUUCAUUUGUUUAAUUUUUAUUUGAUACAAAUAUCUGCUUCAGAAGGCUAAAUAUAAGGAAACAUAUAAACUGUAAUAUCUUAGACAUAUGACCACGAUGCGGCCACUGUGCUUCGUGUGUCAAACUUGAUCAUGUCCGCUGUCAUGAUCAUCGUUAGCGCGUCAAUGAACAAUAAACGUCAUUCGUUUACGGAUCGUCGUACCGGCAACA